ACUCCUACGGGAGGCAGCAGUGGGGAAUAUUGCACAAUGGGCGAAAGCCUGAUGCAGCGACGCCGCGUGAGGGAUGACGGCCUUCGGGUUGUAAACCUCUUUCAGUAGGGAAGAAGCGAAAGUGACGGUACCUGCAGAAGAAGCACCGGCUAACUACGUGCCAGCAGCCGCGGUAAU
rnacentral:rRNA from 1 species